rnacentral:rRNA from 1 species
UAAUACGGAGGAUCCGAGCGUUAUCCGGAUUUAUUGGGUUUAAAGGGUGCGUAGGUGGUUUGAUAAGUCAGCGGUGAAAGUUUGCAGCUUAACUGUAAAAAUGCCGUUGAAACUGUCGGACUUGAGUGUAAAUGAGGUAGGCGGAAUGCGUGGUGUAGCGGUGAAAUGCAUAGAUAUCACGCAGAACUCCGAUUGCGAAGGCAGCUUACUAAGCUACAACUGACACUGAAGCACGAAAGCGUGGGGAUCAAACAGGAUUAGAUACCCUGGUAGUCCACGCAGUAAACGAUGAUUACUAGCUGUUUGCGAUACACAGUAAGCGGCACAGCGAAAGCGUUAAGUAAUCCACCUGGGGAGUACGCCGGCAACGGUGAAACUCAAAUGAAUUGACGG